AUAUUUUGAAAUCAUCUGUUGAUUUUCUGUGCUGCAAGACCAGCAUGUGAAUCAUGUCAGCAACUAUACUCCAUGUUUCAAAAACAUGUAAAAAUGUUACAGUUCUUCAAACAGAAGAAGCAGAGAUCAGAUCCAGAGUGGAGUGCUGGACAAAGAACACAAAGGUUUUCUGAUACAGAAUAUGCUAUUGUGUUUUAUCUGGAGAAGAGUGGAGUCACCAACUGCAAGAUCAAGAGGGGCUCUAAAAGGGUGAGGUAAUGCUAGGUAUCAUUUCUGAGCCCACAUAUUCCAAUCACUCCAUUGCCAUCUCUGAUGAAUCACCC
rnacentral:lncRNA from 1 species